GCCGUGAUAGCUCAGUAGGGAGAGCGUUAGACUGAAGAUCGUCGGUUCGAUCCCGGCUCGUGGCA
rnacentral:tRNA from 1 species